rnacentral:rRNA from 1 species
UGGCUCAGGAUGAACGCUGGCGGCGUGCCUAAUACAUGCAAGUCGAGCGAAUGACGAGGAGCUUGCUCCUCUGAUUUAGCGGCGGACGGGUGAGUAACACGUGGGUAACCUGCCUGUAAGACGGGGAUAACUUCGGGAAACCGAAGCUAAUACCGGAUAAUAAAGAGAGACUCCUGUUUCUUUUUUGAAAGUCGGUUUCGGCUGACGCUUACAGAUGGGCCCGCGGCGCAUUAGCUAGUUGGUGAGGUAACGGCUCACCAAGGCCACGAUGCGUAGCCGACCUGAGAGGGUGAUCGGCCACACUGGGACUGAGACACGGCCCAGACUCCUACGGGAGGCAGCAGUAGGGAAUCUUCGGCAAUGGACGAAAGUCUGACCGAGCAACGCCGCGUGAGCGAUGAAGGCCUUCGGGUCGUAAAGCUCUGUUGUCAGAGAAGAACAAGUACCGGAGUAACUGCCGGUACCUUGACGGUACCUGACCAGAAAGCCACG